rnacentral:lncRNA from 10 species
GGAGAUUUCAUCUCUAUUACACAGAUGAAGUCCAACCUCUUACGAUCAUGCCUAAAAGGAUUACCUGUGGAACGUGAAGCAACCGCACAGAAAGAGGCUGUGCAGAGUAUACCACCAGAGCAAGGAUUGAAAAGGACUCAUUACCGGAGAAGAAAAGGGAAUGGUCUCUGUCAGAAGACCAGUGUGGGAUGGCCAAAGAACCACGAAGGUACCUUUAGAGAGCAAAAGCCUGAAGACAGGAUCUGCCAUUAGGGCCUCAGUGAAAGAAAAUUGUAGCCCCAGCAAUGAUUUUUCCUCUUUUCCUUUAAUUCCACUUUGACUUUGUCCUUGUUCCUGCCCUAGAAGGAGCUAGAAAUAGCAGUUAGCAGAGAGUAAAGAGGUGAAGUGUGGAAGAAAAUAAACAUCAGUUUCCCCUUCUUUUGAAUUCCAAGCUGGUUAAUUCCUAUCUAAGGUAUGGAGAGUGGUACUGCCCUGAGGAAGGGAGAAAGCAUGAAUUGAAUGAGAACUUGAGGUUUUGAAUUAUAUUGCAGCAGACCUUUAAUAUCUAAAAAUAAGGAUUAUUCAUUAAUGCCCAGAAGUAACUGUAUAUUAAUGGUUCUUUUUGAGAUAUUAUCUAGGGAAAUGGAAGAGAGAGCUGACACAAUGGGUUUAAGGAAUAGUGGUAAGAGAAAAAUUAAAUUACUUGUUUUUUGUACCAUUUUGAAAUUAGCUCAUGAAUAACUUAGUUUUAAUUAAAAAUUAUUCUACAACUCUUAUUACUACCUUCAUGAUAUGAAUGUAACUUUAGAAAUCAGAUUAAGACAAAUCACUACUGUAUGUUACACAUACUUAAGAAUAAGAUGACCCUAUAUGUAGAAGGUUGUUGAAAGAACUGUUUCAUUGACAUGAAAUCAUGCAUAAGAAAAUGCUGAAAAUAUACAGAAAUAUCUAUUUUAUUUUAUUUUCAUUAUUAAUUUCAACAUGGCUUUUUGAAGGCUGAGAACAAUAACUAGAAUGUGGAGUGGGAUAUACAAAUUUUCCCAAUGCAGUCCAAUAGAUCUUUCUGUUAUAAUUGAAAUGCUCUGUAUCUGUGCCAUCCAGCACCCUAGCCACUAAGCCACAUGUGACUAGUGACUGCUUGAAAUGUGGCCACUGCAACUGAAGAACUAGUUUUUAAAUUAUAUUUAAUUUUAAUUAAAUUUAAA